rnacentral:rRNA from 1 species
UGGGGAAUAUUGCACAAUGGGCGCAAGCCUGAUGCAGCCAUGCCGCGUGCGUGAAGAAGGCCUUCGGGUUGUAAAGCACUUUCAGCGAGGAGGAAGGUGGUGAGCUUAAUACGCUCAUCAAUUGACGUUACUCGCAGAAGAAGCACCGGCUAACUCCGUGCCAGCAGCCGCGGUAAUACGGAGGGUGCAAGCGUUAAUCGGAAUUACUGGGCGUAAAGCGCACGCAGGCGGUUUGUUAAGUCAGAUGUGAAAUCCCCGGGCUCAACCUGGGAACUGCAUUUGAAACUGGCAAGCUAGAGUCUCGUAGAGGGGGGUAGAAUUCCAGGUGUAGCGGUGAAAUGCGUAGAGAUCUGGAGGAAUACCGGUGGCGAAGGCGGCCCCCCUGGACGAAGACUGACGCUCAGGUGCGAAAGCGUGGGGCAGCAAACAGGAUUAGAUACCCUGGUAGUCCAGCGCUGUAAAACGAUGUCGAUUUGGAGGUUGUGCCCUUGAGGCGUGGCUUCCGGAGCUAACGCGUUAAAUCGACCGCCUGGGGAGUACGGCCGCAAGGUUAAAACUCAAAUGAAUUGACGGGGUC